UGUCCGGAAUUAUUGGCGUAAGAGCUUGUAGGCGGCUUGUCAGUCGGUUGUGAAAGCCCGGGGCUUAACCCGGGUCUGCGUCGAUACGGCCGGCUAGAGUUCGGUAGGGGAGAUCGGAAUUCCUGGUGUAGCGGUGGAAUGCGCAGAUAUCAGGAGGAACACCGGUGGUCGAAGGUCGGAUCUCUGGGCCGAUACUGACGCUGAGGAGCGAUAGCGUGGGGAGCGAACAGGAUAGAUACCCUGGUAGUCACGCUGUAAACGGUGGGCACUAGGUGUGGGCAACAUUCCACGUUGUCCGUGCCGCAGCUAACGCAUUAAGUGCCCCGCCUGGGGAGUACGGCCGCAAGGCUAAAACUCAAAGGAAUUGACGGGGGCCCGCACAAGCGGCGGAGCAUGUGGCUUACUUCGACGCAACGCGAAGAACCUUACCAAGGCUUGACAUACACCGGAAAACCCGGAGACAGGGUCCCCCUUGUGGUCGGUGUACAGGUGGUGCAUGGCGUCGUCAGCUCGUGUCGUGAGAUGUUGGGUUAAGUCCCGCAACGAGCGCAACCCUUGUCCCGUGUUGCCAGCAGGCCCUUGUGGUGCUGGGGACUCACGGGAGACCGCCGGGGUCAACUCGGAGGAAGGUGGGGACGACGUCAAGUCAUCAUGCCCCUUAUGUCUUGGGCUGCACACGUGCUACAAUGG
rnacentral:rRNA from 1 species